AAAACAUAGGCCAGACCUUCAGUCAAUGUAAACUGGUAUCAUUUGAAGCCAGCUGGAAGGAGUGCAAUUUAUACCAGCUGAGGAGCUCACCCUCCAUGUCUGAGGUAAAGCACAAACAGCACUGUUACUCUUUCCAAUACCGUGACAUGGUUUUCUUUCUCAUCUGAAUGGUUUGAUUGCACAUUUCCCUUUUAAAAGUUUAAGCUUCUGAGUGAAAGUUGCCUGAUUAGAGUAUGAAUAGCAAGGAAAAUAGUUGCUUGAGAUUGGUAAUGGAAUUUAUGCUUUCACCAUAACUAGCAAAUGUACAAGAACUUAUUGUCAUUGUAGUCCUGUAAAGUAUAUUUCAUUUUCUCACUGUGCAUAUGGAAACACUGCAAACCUGAGUCCAUGGCCAGAGAACAAAUCACUGUCAGUCACUCCUUUCCGCAGGAGACAAUCCAUGUUUGCCUUGGUUGGUGGUUUCAGGUGUUCCCAAGAUUUUCAAAGCAACUGGAGAAAGUGCCUUCUUUCUCAUGGCCUUAUCAGCCUCAGAGGGAAAGGAUACAGGUGGAACCAUUAAGUUCUCCUUAAUGUCAUGACAAAAUCCACAAACAGGAAGAUCAGGAAGAUGGCCCCUAUGUUCUCAGAUACUCUGUGUGUGAUUUACAUGAGGAGAUGGAUGAAGAGUGGACACAGCUCACCUUGCAACUGGAGCCUGUAUUAAAACAGUUAAUGAACUGCACAAAGAGAAGCAAACCAAGCAGGCGCUGUGUACAGGCUAAUACAUUCUUUCUGCAUUAUAAAUAUUUGUGUUUAUGAAGAUUAAUGGACUGAAACAUUUUAGAGUGAAGUCCGUUGUUUAUCCAUGAGCUGCAAACACCAGAGAUAGCUACAGUGUGAGUUUCCUCACACUGUCCUGUUAAUGACCUCAACUCUGACCUCUCGAGGGAAAAGGGGAAAUUUAGUCCAGAUCAUUUAUGGCCAUUUCCCGUGCAGAGCCGUGCAAGACACUUAUUGCUGACUUUGUAAUGUGAGCUACUGGCAACUGCAUGAUCACAAAAUUCUUAGUGCUCGAGGCCUUAGACCUACUAGGCAUUGUAAAGUUAAAAGUUCAGAAGUUUUCACACUAAAAGGUUUGCACCAGUGUAAAAACACUCUCUAAUCCUUAAUGAUUUAAGAAAGAUGCUAUGUAGCUUAACUGGAGCUAAAUGAACAUUUGACUGUACCUGCAUGCAUAACCAUGCUGCAGUGAUUUCCUUCCUUUUCUUAAACAUUUUGUCAAUAAUUUCCUACUCAGGUGUAGUCCAAAGUAAGAUAUAUAGUUUAGGGAGGGAAAGAACACAAGUAGAAAGUUAGGUCUAGUCUACCACAGGGAGAUAUCAAAGGG
rnacentral:lncRNA from 1 species